rnacentral:rRNA from 1 species
UUAAAAAGCUCGUAGUUGAAUUUCGGGAUUAGUACGUUGGUCGUGCCUUCGGUACGUACUGGUGUUACUGAUUCCUACCUUCUGACGAACCAUCAUGUCAUUAAUUUGGUGUGGUGGGGAAUCAGGACUGUUACUUUGAAAAAAUUAGAGUGUUUAAAGCAGGCUCGCGCUUGAAUACAUUAGCAUGGAAUAAUGAAAUAGGACGUUGACCCUAUUUUGUUGGUUUCUAGGAUUGACGUAAUGAUUAAUGGGGAUAGUUGGGGG